GGAAUGGGCUAGGCUGCCUCCUCCUUGCUCAGCAUAGCAGCUGAGCCUGGAGGAGGAGGAGGAGUGGAAGCUGCAGCCGUGACAGCAGGAAGGACCUCAUGGGCAGAUGCGCCAGCCAAUCUCUCUGGAGCCUCAGAGGCGGCAGCAGUAGCCACCUGAGUGUUUUCCACACAGCAGGCUUUACUAGCUCAAGAGGCCGUGCUGGAGUGUCCCUGGGGGUGGCCUGUUCAGGAAGGCGGCUGCCUCAUGUGAGGGUGAGCAGGAGAUAAAAUAUCCCCAUUUUGAAAAAGGGGGUGGGGGAGAGCUGAGGGAGACGUUACUGUGAACUGUUCUCCUGUGUUCAGUGCCCAGAUGGGAGACCCAUGUAUGCCACUUUUGGGGGUGGGGCCAAUAGUUCAGUGGUAGAUAUGAAGCAGCCCCUGCCUGCCUCUUCUUGCAGCGCGGGCAAGCUGUUAGAUGGCAUGGAAGCAGCCUGCACACCUCCCUCAUGGACAGGCAGCUCACGAUGAAGAAGUCGUUCUUCUCACCCAUUUACCACAUGCAGGUGUUCCCAUUAAAAAAACAGUGUCUCAUCUUACCCAUUUGAGCUCUCUGCACAUUUUUCAAAAUCCCUGACAAUGAGGACUAGAAUCCUGCUUUUAAACAAAACUUGAAGUUGGCAUUCUCAGCAAGCCAAAACGUGUGGCAACACUCCCAGAUUGAGACACACAGUCUUGCCCGUUGCCCUCAAUUCCGAGAAAUGCUUUCCUACACAACUGUAGGAAAGUGGCCGACAACCAGUGCCACAUUACACAGACUGUCACGUUACAUGGACUGUAAAGAGGACGAGGCCAAGGUGGGAGCGAUAAGGUAAGCAAGAGAGAGACACAGAGGAAUUUCCCCACCUUGGGAACCUUUGCAGAACUCUGUGGCAAGCCAGGGCAAGCAAUCAAUACCCAAGCACAAAUGUAUGCAUAUGUUAUUUAUUCAUUUCUAAAUUUAAAGCAGCGGCUCCAGCAGGCAAAUUUAAAUCUACAGGCUCCAAACUCAGAGCAACACACAGCUCAGUUGCUUCGUUUGCAUAAUGUAAGUUAUUAAUUUCCCCUACUUAUAUAAAUACCAAGCUAUAUAUGCAUUACAGAUUGAAGAAGGAUACUCAGUAUGCCUCCAGUAGCAUUAUUUGAUCAUAUUUGAUGGUCUCUAAGAAAAGCGAAGGCAACACAUUUAAUAUUCCUCCUCAAGGACUUGAGAGCACAGCUCCUGAUCCAGUGGACACCAGUCACAAGUAAACCAAACUUUCCCCUUCCAGAUCUCUCCUCCCACCUAUGCAAAAAAGUGUUCUUGGUGGGCAGCAGAGGUUAACAGAUCCAGUCCAGCACCAGGAGAGAUGACUGCAGGGUGUUUAUGCCAUACGCACAGUAGCUAACAGGUAGAAAUGCUGUCAGCUCCUAAAAGCACAAUUCUCACAGGAUCCUGGAUACAAUCUUUAGCUAGAGCUAACUGGCUGUUCUGAUGGGAUCCUAAAAAUAGUUAUUAUGGUACUAGUGUUAAAGCUACGAUAAUAGAAGUUACGCCCAUUGUAUUUGAAAUAUCGGAGGGGGGGGGAUCUUAUUUUUAAAGUGCAGGAAGCAGCAAACAGAGCAGUGACACUUACGAACAUGCUGCCUUUGUGCUGGGAUUUUACAAAAAAAGUCAGUGUGAAUUAAACAAAAUGGAAGGGGGAGGAGAAAGAGCCUAGUGGGGAGUGUUUAUUUAAACCAGGCCUGCACAACUUGUAAACUGUCAAAGGGACUCAUCAGCCAUUUGUUGGGGACUAUCAUAUACUUGACCAUCUCCCUUGUUUUUAUCAUCUAAAGCAGGUGGGAAAACCAGGUUAGGAACACUGGAAGCUGCCUUCUACCGAGUCAGACCUUUGGUCUGUCUAGCUGAGCAUCAUCUACUCUGAUUGGCGGCAGCACUCCAGGGUUUCAGUGCAAAAUAAAGCUACCUUGCUAUCAAAGAAAGAAAACAAACAUCAUAAUGGAAGAAAAGGAGCAAUUAAAAUUUCUCCCCAUAUAGGGAACAGGAACUGACUGGCUAUGAGGCAAUCCAGAAGCAAUUC